rnacentral:rRNA from 1 species
CGCAGCCGCGGUAAUUCCAGCUCCAAUAGCGUAUAUUAAAGUUGUUGCAGUUAAAAAGCUCGUAGUUGAAUUUCGGGAUCAAUAUUUCGGUCAUGCCGUUGGUAUGCACUGUUAUCAUUGAUUUCUCACCUUCUAAAGAACCGUAAUGCCAUUUAUUUGGUGUCGUGGGGAAUCAGGACUGUUACUUUGAAAAAAUUAGAGUGUUUAAAGCAGGCUCACGCUUGAAUACAUUAGCAUGGAAUAAUGAAAUAGGACGUUUGAUUCUAUUUUGUUGGUUUCUAGGAUCGACGUAAUGAUUAAUAGGGAUAGUUGGGGGCAUUAGUAUUCAAUUGUCAGAGGUGAAAUUCUUGGAUUUAUUGAAGACUAACUACUGCGAAAGCAUUUGCCAAGGAUGUUUUCAUUAAUCAAGAACGAAAGUUAGGGGAUCGAAGACGAUCAGAUACCGUCGUAGCCUUAACCAUAAACUAUGCCGACUAGGGAUCGGAUGAUGUUAAUUUUUUUAAUGUACUCA